rnacentral:lncRNA from 1 species
CAUGGUUAUAGGGUAUGCAAUCAUUAUGUCUUCAAUCCCUUGUCCUCUAAGCUUAGCCAAAAUGUUGACCCCUUGCUCAACACCCCAAUUUGGACGUCCAAACAUGGUCAACAUUGGGCCUUGGCCCUUUGUUGACUUGUUUGAUCAAAACCUUAUUCUACAUUGGGCGUUGAUCCCUGCACCUCCACCUUCUUGGAUCUCC